UACGAAGGGGGCUAGCGUUGUUCGGAAUCACUGGGCGUAAAGCGCACGUAGGCGGCGCGUUAAGUCAGGGGUGAAAUCCUGGAGCUCAACUCCAGAACUGCCUUUGAUACUGGCGUGCUCGAGUGUGGGAGAGGUUGGUGGAACUCCGAGUGUAGAGGUGAAAUUCGUAGAUAUUCGGAAGAACACCAGUGGCGAAGGCGGCCAACUGGCCCAUUACUGACGCUCAGGUUCGAAAGCGUUGGGAGCUAACAGG
rnacentral:rRNA from 1 species